rnacentral:rRNA from 1 species
UACGUAGGGUGCAAGCGUUAAUCGGAAUUACUGGGCGUAAAGCGUGCGCAGGCGGUUUUGUAAGUCAGAUGUGAAAUCCCCGGGCUUAACCUGGGAACUGCGUUUGAAACUACAAGGCUAGAGUGUGACAGAGGGGGGUGGAAUUCCACGUGUAGCAGUGAAAUGCGUAGAGAUGUGGAGGAACACCGAUGGCGAAGGCAGCCCCCUGGGAUAACACUGACGCUCAGGCACGAAAGCGUGGGGAGCAAACAGG